AACCCAAAACCAAACCCCAUCUUCUCUAUCUCUCCAAUCCAUAGGUUUGGAGAAUUGCGGCCAUGGAUAGAGCAAUUCUUCAUCGUUCUCUUUCAUGCGCGCCACUCGCCUGCACCAAACUCCUCUCUUGUUCUUCACACAGACUCGUCCGUCGUCUUCCCUCACUUUCGUAUCUCCCAAGGCAACAACACCGUUUACUCCAAAACUUACAUAAUCGCUCUUUUCUCGGAACUCGUCUGAAGCCGUCGAUCUCAUCACUCUCCGUUCCUUCUCUUAAUCUGAAACGACAUUUCUCUCUUCCUGCUAGAGCUGUAGCUUCACCUCUAAAAGAUCCUUCACCAGCUCUUGGAGCUGAUGAUGAAGUUGCUGAAAAGCUCGGGUUUGAGAAAGUAUCUGACCAGUUCCUUGAUGAGUGUAAAUCCAGAGCUAUUCUUUAUAAGCAUAAGAAGACUGGUGCGGAGAUUAUGUCCGUUUCGAAUAACGACGAGAAUAAAGUCUUUGGCAUUGUUUUCCGUACUCCUCCAAAAGAUUCAACUGGUAUCCCUCAUAUAUUAGAACAUAGUGUUCUUUGUGGUUCAAGAAAGUAUCCUCUGAAAGAACCAUUUGUGGAAUUGCUGAAAGGGAGUUUGCAUACUUUUCUCAAUGCAUUUACUUACCCAGAUAGGACUUGUUAUCCUGUUGCUUCUACAAAUACUAAGGAUUUCUAUAACUUGGUGGAUGUGUACCUGGAUGCUGUCUUUUUCCCAAAAUGUGUUGAAGACUCGCAGACGUUUCAACAAGAGGGUUGGCAUUAUGAACUAAAUGACCCUACAGAAGACAUAACAUAUAAAGGUGUUGUUUUUAACGAAAUGAAGGGUGUUUACUCUCAGCCUGAUAACAUUCUCGGGCGGACCACUCAACAGGCAUUAUUUCCUGAUAAUACCUAUGGUGUUGACAGCGGGGGUGAUCCACAAGUUAUUCCAAAGCUAACUUUUGAGGAAUUCAAGGAUUUUCAUAGCAAGUUUUACCAUCCAAGCAAUGCAAGGAUAUGGUUUUAUGGAGAUGAUGACUCCAAUGAACGACUUCGAAUUUUGAGUGAGUACCUGGAUAUGUUUGAGGCAAGUUCAGCUCCUCAUGAAUCGAGAAUCAAACCACAGAAGCUGUUUGCUAAACCAACACGGGUUAUUGAGAAGUAUCCUGCCGCCGAAGGCGAUGACCUAGAAAAGAAAAAUAUGGUAUGUCUCAACUGGCUGCUUGAUGAUAAACCCUUGGACUUGGAAACUGAACUAGCUUUGGGAUUUCUGGACCAUCUAAUGUUGGGAACUCCCGCUUCUCCUUUGAGGAAAAUCCUCUUAGAAAGUCGUUUGGGUGAGGCCAUUGUUGGUGGUGGAAUUGAAGAUGAGCUUCUUCAGCCCAAUUUUAGUAUUGGAUUGAAGGGUGUUUCUAAAGAAGAUAUCCAAAAGGUAGAAGAAUUAAUCAUUAGUACACUUAAAACUUUAGCUGAAGAAGGGUUUGAUUCGGAUGCUGUGGAAGCAUCAAUGAAUACUAUUGAGUUUUCCCUUAGAGAGAACAAUACUGGAUCAUUUCCACGUGGUUUGGCCUUGAUGCUUCGAUCCAUUGGAAAAUGGGUGUAUGAUAUGGAUCCCUUUGAGCCUCUCAAAUAUCAGAAACCCCUGAUGGCCCUGAAAGCCAGAAUAGCUGAAGAAGGAUCAAAAUCUGUUUUUGCCCCACUAAUUGAGAAAUACAUUUUAAAUAACACACAUCUUGUUACUGUUGAGAUGCAGCCUGACCCUGAGAAAGAUUCCCGUGAUGAAGCCCUGGAAAAAGAGGCACUAAAUAAGAUUAAAGCAAGCAUGACUGAAGAAGAUCUAGCGGAGCUAACACGUGCUACACAAGAAUUACGAUUAAAACAGGAAACUCCCGAUUCUCCAGAAGCUCUGAAAGUUGUGCCUUGCCUAUCAUUAAAUGACAUUCCUAAGGAGCCGAUAUCUAUUCCAAUAGAGAUUGGAGACAUCAAUGGGGUGAAGGUGCUGAAGCAUGAUCUAUUUACCAAUGAUGUCCUAUAUGCAGAAGUUGUAUUUGAUAUGAGUCUUGUUAAACAAGAGCUUCUCCCACUUGUGCCACUAUUCUGUCAAUCACUCAUGGAGAUGGGUACCAAAGACAUGGACUUUGUGCAGCUUAACCAGCUAAUUGGAAGGAAAACCGGAGGAAUAUCAGUUUAUCCUUUAACAUCAUCUGUACGGGGCAAAGAAAAUCCAUGUAGCCACAUAGUUGUUCGGGGCAAAGCUAUGUCUAAUCGCACUGAAGAUUUGUUUAACCUGGUCAACUGCAUCCUUCAAGAUGUUCAAUUUACUGAUCAAAAGCGGUUUAAGCAAUUUGUUUCACAAAGCAAAGCCAGAAUGGAGAACCGAUUGAGAGGGAGUGGUCACAGUGUUGCUGCGGCAAGGAUGGAUGCAAAGCUGAAUGUUGCAGGCUGGAUUUCUGAACAAAUGGGGGGUGUAAGUUAUCUGGAGUUUUUGCGAAGUCUAGAAGAGAAAAUUGAUCAAGAUUGGGAUGGAAUCUCGUCAUCUUUGGAGGAGAUUCGCCGGUCCUUAUUGUCAAGGAAUAGGUGUUUAGUAAACUUGACUACUGAUGGGAAUAAUCUUUCAAAAUCAGAAAAAUAUAUCAGCAAAUUUCUUGAUUUGCUUCCAACAUCUGCUACUCCACUUGAAUCAGUCUCUUGGAAUGGCCGUUUGUCUGCAAAUCAUGAAGCCAUUAUCGUACCCACUCAGGUAAAUUAUGUGGGUAAAGCAGCUAAUUUAUACGAUGUUGGUUAUGAACUGAAAGGUAGUGCAUACGUUAUUUCAAAGUACAUAAGCAACACAUGGUUAUGGGACCGUGUGCGUGUUAGUGGAGGAGCUUACGGAGGCUUCUGUGAUUUUGAUACACACUCAGGAGUCUUCUCUUUCCUCUCUUAUCGCGACCCGAAUUUGUUGAAGACACUUGAUGUGUAUGAUGCAACAAGUGAUUUCCUACGAGAACUUGAAAUGGACAAUGAUACUCUUACGAAAGCAAUCAUUGGUACUAUAGGAGAUGUGGAUUCAUAUCAGCUUCCUGAUGCCAAAGGUUAUAGUAGGUAAGUGACCUAUCUUUUCUCCUUCUCCUUUUCCUAUAUGUUGUUUAAUUUCCCAUUACUAAUAGUACAGCACAAUAGUAAAAUCCAUUUUUUUUAAUGAAAAUGUCAAUAAAACAACCAUGGCCUUGUUUGGAAAUCUCAAAUAACUUAAUAUCUCAUCAUGAAUCUCAGUCAAAUAUUUUAAAUCAUCCACUAAAAUACAAUAAUAUCCUCUAUUUAAAAAAUAUACAGUUAUAUUAUAUAUUAUAGCUCUAUUGUUUUUUUACCCAAAUUUCACACAAACAAUAUUAUUUCGUAAUAUCCCAAGGUCGAUCAAGACCCAUGAUAAACGUGGAAGUCAGUUUGGGUUUGACCAUAGGUAGAAAUCAAGCCAAAUAAGUACAAGUUAUUAUUGCUCCAUACAAAAACAGACUGAUGUUACAAGAGAAUACAGUCUGCACUUAGCUUUGUCAAACCUAUUAGUCAAUCAAUCUUUCAUUGGAAAAUAUCCAAAGUUAAAACUGAAAAUGAUUAUUUUUUUGGUUUAGUAUAAGAUUGUAUUUUGAAUCAUGAUCCAAAUUAUAUUCAGUUUUUUUUACUUUGUUUGGUACAAAAAUUAUUUUCUGCAUACUUUUUUGCUUCAUUUGUUAUGCAUAUUAUUUUCUGGAUCAAUAAUAGGUAGGUUUUUUGGAAUCAUCAUGUGAUGAUUGUGAGUAAUAAUAUAAAGUUGGUCCAUAAUUUACUGUUAGUGUUACUAUUGUAAUCUUUCUUAAUCCUCGAAAUUCCAUGUUCGAUUGACAUGACUUUGUUAUGGGCAGUAUGUUAAGGCACUUACUUGGAGUGACAGAAGACGAAAGGAAACUGAGACGGGAGGAGAUAUUAACGACGAGCCUGAAAGAUUUCAAAGAAUUCGCUGGUGUAAUUGAGGCAGUUAAAGAUAAAGGUGUUGUUGUGGCUGUGGCGUCUCCAGACGAUGUGGAAGCAGCUCACAAGGAGCGACCAAAUUUCUUUCAAACCAGAAAAGGUCUUUAAGUAGAAGAAUAAUCUAUCAUGUUGUAAACAAGAAAUUUAAGGUCAUUAUUAUUAUUUAAAAUAAUUGUUUCUCUCUUUUUGGUGUUGAGAGAAAAUAGAUAAUUUCAUAUGCUACAUAUUUUUUUCAUUUUA